GAUGAACGCUGGCGGCGUGCCUAAUACAUGCAAGUCGAGCGAACGGACGAGAAGCUUGCUUCUCUGAUGUUAGCGGCGGACGGGUGAGUAACACGUGGAUAACCUACCUAUAAGACUGGGAUAACUUCGGGAAACCGGAGCUAAUACCGGAUAAUAUUUUGAACCGCAUGGUUCAAAAGUGAAAGACGGUCUUGCUGUCUCUUAUAGAUGGAUCCGCGCUGCAUUAGCUAGUUGGUAAGGUAACGGCUUACCAAGGCAACGAUGCAUAGCCGACCUGAGAGGGUGAUCGGCCACACUGGAACUGAGACACGGUCCAGACUCCUACGGGAGGCAGCAGUAGGGAAUCUGCCGCAAUGGGCGAAAGCCUGACGGAGCAACGCCGCGUGAGUGAUGAAGGUCUUCGGAUCGUAAAACUCUAUUAUUAGGGAAGAACAUAUGUGUAAGUAACUGUGCACAUCUUGACGGUACCUAAUCAGAAAGCCACGGCUAACUACGUG
rnacentral:rRNA from 1 species